UUGAUUAAAUAUUGACAUGAAAUCAGUAUAUAAGGACAUAGAUAACGUAAGUUCUCUUUGCCUAAUCGUCGAAAUUUGAGGCCAAACAAAUAUUAAUCAGUUUUUCAUCAAAUUUGCUUAGCCAUUGUUGUGGGUGUAGAUUCACUAGGUCGAUAUCUACCAAGAAACAGCAAUGGACAACAGACCGGCACAGACUUAUUCUGAACACAUCAAGCAGCGCCACCAUGAUAAAGGAUGGAUCUACGCUUGCUUAUUUACUCUGUGCUGCUGCUUCUGCUGUUACGAGGCAUGUGAGUGCUGUCUGAAGGUUUUCUGCUGCUGCUGCGACUCUGAUGAUAAAAAUGAGGAUAAAAGGGAUUAAUUACUCCUAAUUUCUUUUUAAUGAAAGUAUGAUAUGUGUAAAAAAAAUCCUAAAAUACUGAGUAUAUCUCUGCUUAUUUGUUACCCUUUAUUUCAUUCCAUGUUCUUACUGUGUGCAGGGUGUAAAAAAAAAAGUGCUGUAUGACAGAGUUACUAGCUCUGAUGUCUUCUAGUUCAAGUAUACAUAUCAUAAAUAAUAAACUUUGGCUUUAAGGUGAU